GAGCGCCCCGCAAGGGGAGCGGCAGACGGGAGAGUAACACGUGGGAACGUGCCCUUCAGUUCGGAACAACCCAGGGAAACUUGGGCUAAUACCGGAUACGUCCGUAAGGAGAAAGAUUUAUCGCUGAAGGAUCGGCCCGCGUCUGAUUAGCUUGUUGGUGAGGUAACGGCUCACCAAGGCUACGAUCAGUAGCUGGUCUGAGAGGAUGAUCAGCCUCACUGGGACUGAGACACGGCCCAGACUCCUACGGGAGGCAGCAGUGGGGAAUACUGGACAAUGGGCGCAAGCCUGAUCCAGCCAUGCCGCGUGGAUGAUGAAGGCCCUAGGGUUGUAAAGUCCUUUCGGCGGGGAAGAUAAUGACGGUACCCGCAGAAGAAGCCCCGGCUAACUUCGUGCCAGCAGCCGCGGUAAUACGAAGGGGGCUAGCGUUGCUCGGAAUCACUGGGCGUAAAGCGCACGUAGGCGGCUUUUUAAGUCAGAGGUGUAAUCCUGGAGCUCAACUCCAGAACUGCCUUUGAUACUGGAGAGCUUGAGUCCGGGAGAGGUGAGUGGAACUGCGAGUGUAGAGGUGAAAUUCGUAGAUAUUCGCAAGAACACCAGUGGCGAAGGCGGCUCACUGGCCCGGUACUGACGCUGAGGUGCGAAAGCGUGGGGA
rnacentral:rRNA from 1 species